UGAGGAAUAUUGGUCAAUGGGCGCAAGCCUGAACCAGCCAUCCCGCGUGCAGGAAGACGGCCCUAUGGUUUGUAAACUGCUUUUCCAGGGAGAGAAACUUGCGUACGCGUUGCGCAAUUGACGGUACCCUGGGAAUAAGCAUCGGCCAACUCCGUGCCAGCAGCCGCGGUAAUACGGAGGAUGCGAGCGUUAUCCGGAUUCAUUGGGUUUAAAGGGUGCGUAGGCGGACUAUUAAGUCAGUGGUGAAAUCCUGCAGCUUAACUGCAGAACUGCCAUUGAUACUGAUAGCCUUGAGUUUGGUUAAGGUAGGCGGAAUGUGUAGUGUAGCGGUGAAAUGCGUAGAUAUUACAAAGAACACCAAUGGCGUAGGCAGCUUACUGGGCCGACACUGACGCUGAGGCACGAAAGCGUGGGGAUCGAACA
rnacentral:rRNA from 1 species